rnacentral:rRNA from 1 species
AUUGAACGCUGGCGGCAGGCCUCACACAUGCAAGUCGAGCGGAGCGGCGGACGGGUGAGUAAUGCCUAGUAAUCUGCCUGGUAGUGGGGGAUAACGUCCGGCAACGGGCGCUAAUACCGCAUACUAUCAGAUGAGCCUAGGUCUGAUUCGCUAGUUGGUGGGGUAACGGCCUAACAAGUCGACGAUCCGUAACUGGUCUGAGAGGAUGAUCAGUCACACUGGAACUGGAACACGGUCCAAACGCCUACGGGAGGCAGCAGUGGGGAAUAUUUGACAAUGGGCGAAAGCCUGAUCCAGCCAUGCCGCGUGUGUGAAGAAGGUCUUCGGAUUGUAAAGCACUUUAAGUUGGGAGGCGUUACCAACAGAAUAAGCACCGGCUAACUUCGUGCCAGCAGCCGCGGUAAUUC